rnacentral:rRNA from 1 species
AAUGGGGGCAACCCUGAUCCAGCCAUGCCGCGUGAGUGAAGAAGGCCUUCGGGUUGUAAAGCUCUUUCGGCCGGGAAGAAAUCGCGUGAGUUAAUACCUUGCGUGGAUGACGGUACCGGAAUAAGAAGCACCGGCUAACUACGUGCCAGCAGCCGCGGUAAUACGUAGGGUGCGAGCGUUAAUCGGAAUUACUGGGCGUAAAGCGUGCGCAGGCGGUUUUUUAAGACAGGCGUGAAAUCCCCGGGCUUAACCUGGGAACUGCGCUUGUGACUGGAAGACUAGAGUAUGGCAGAGGGGGGUGGAAUUCCACGUGUAGCAGUGAAAUGCGUAGAGAUGUGGAGGAACACCGAUGGCGAAGGCAGCCCCCUGGGCCAAUACUGACGCUCAUGCACGAAAGCGUGGGGAGCAAA